rnacentral:rRNA from 1 species
GUCCCAGACUCCUACGGGAGGCAGCAGUGGGGAAUAUUGCACAAUGGGGGAAACCCUGAUGCAGCGACGCCGCGUGGGUGAAGAAGCGCCUCGGCGCGUAAAGCCCUAUCGGCAGGGAAGAAACAGACGGUACCUGACUAAGAAGCCCCGGCUAACUACGUGCCAGCAGCCGCGGUAAUACGUAGGGGGCAAGCGUUAUCCGGAUUCACUGGGUGUAAAGGGAGCGUAGACGGCGACGCAAGUCUGGAGUGAAGGCCCGGGGCCCAACCCCGGGACUGCUCUGGAAACUGCGGCGCUGGAGUACGGGAGGGGCAGGCGGAAUUCCUGGUGUAGCGGUGAAAUGCGUAGAUAUCAGGAGGAACACCGGUGGCGAAGGCGGCCUGCUGGACUGCGACUGACGUUGAGGCCCGAAAGCGUGGGGAGCAAACAGGAUUAGAUACCCCCGUAG